GAAACGCGUCUCUCGGCUGGAUUCACGGCGUCGACGUGAUUGACGGUCUCGUCGUGACCAACGUUUUUCAUUUCAUUUCUGUAAGUGGAAUAAUCUCUCUUUUUCUCGAAUCUCAUCCACAUUUAAGAGUCACAAAUUUGUAAGAGAAACUUAUAUUUAAAAUAGCUUUAAGAAAAAUCCUCCAAUAACAGCCCCUUUACGCAA